rnacentral:rRNA from 1 species
GAUGAACGCUGGCGGCGUGCUUAACACAUGCAAGUCGAACGAUGAAGCCCAGCUUGCUGGGUGGAUUAGUGGCGAACGGGUGAGUAACACGUGAGUAACCUGCCCUUAACUCUGGGAUAAGCCUGGGAAACUGGGUCUAAUACCGGAUAGGAGCGUCCACCGCAUGGUGGGUGUUGGAAAGAUUUAUCGGUUUUGGAUGGACUCGCGGCCUAUCAGCUUGUUGGUGAGGUAAUGGCUCACCAAGGCGACGACGGGUAGCCGGCCUGAGAGGGUGGCCGGCCACACUGGGACUGAGACACGGCCCAGACUCCUACGGGAGGCAGCAGUGGGGAAUAUUGCACAAUGGGCGCAAGCCUGAUGCAGCGACGCCGCGUGAGGGAUGACGGCCUUCGGGUUGUAAACCUCUUUCAGUAGGAAAGAAGCGAAAGUGACGGUACCUGCAGAAGAAGCACCGGCUAACUACGUG